GAGGAAAACUACAGCACUUGAGGAGGGCCAGGAGCUUCCUUUUACAUUGCAGAGGCUUUGACAUGAAGAGUAAGGAGGUGGAGACCAGGUCAGAGAGAGCGGGCACCAUUUUCCUGACAUGGGUGGACGUUUGAUGGGAGAACAGGAAGCUGCAGCACUCUGGAGUGUAGACAGUGACCUUGGGCACAGAGAGACCUUACAGCUUCCUUGAGACGGGAGAUCAGGGGCUGUUUGUCUGCACGGUGAUUUGGUGGUGGUCCUGAAACCGAAGAGGCAGAGGAGCCGGUAAGCAGCAAUGUCCAGUAACCAGAAAGAGAUUCGAGGUGGGAAAGGGUCUGGAGGUCAAAGCAGCUCAGCAGGACCAGGACCUGGUACAUUUUUAAGGCAAGUGGGAGAGAAAGGAACACACACAUGCACCCCAAGACCGUGGGCUCAGAUGCCCUUGUGCCCUUCCCUGAUUCUGCCCCCAAACUGUGUAAGCAGUCAGCCCUGUCCGGGAGGAAUCUCACUAGCACACCCUUGCCCUCUUCGCCUUGGUUGGGGAUCCAGCCUCCAGACCUGUGCAUCACUUCACAGUUCAGUGCUCUGGCUUUCUCCUGCCCUCAGCCUACCAUGGUCUGCUGUUUGGGGACAAAGCACCUGCCCUGUGAGGUGGGUGACACCAAGCUUGCACCAGCGGCCCCGUGGACAGCACCUCACCGGGCCUCCCAAGGGUAGAACCCUAGAUCCCGGCGUCUCCAUGUGGAAAGCAGCCCAGCCAGUGAGCAAGAGCACUGGAGGCCUUAGCUCGUGGCUGGAUGCUGGGCUUUCUUCCCUCUAGCUCUGCUCCCCCCAACCCUCGCCUGGCCUCUUGGUGACACCCCAGACUGUUCUGUGUGCCUGCUGUGAACCCCGCUUCCUUUCGAGGCAGCGCAGACUGACUUUAAGUCAUUCCUGAGGUCAUGGAAAGUGCAGCUGGUGUUUUCGAGGGCGGAGGGACGCCUCGGGAAGGAGGACCGGCGAGCUAUGCGGCGAGCAAAGAAGAGUGCUCACCUGAAGUCUGGCUCACAGGGAGCCUGUGCCUCUGCAGUGCAGCCCCAGUUCUCCACCUCACCGUGGAUGCUCCUACGGGCCUCAAGCUUCAUGUACACCCAGGGCAAUGCUAGAUGUCGUCACAUAGCUGCUCCCAUUUGCAUCUCAAAAAAACAGCUAGUGAUGCUUUGUGAGUAAACAAGAAGAUCCACACUCAGAGCUUUUGUGUGACAGUUGUGGCAGACACUCUGGCUGCUGGCUCCAAGUCUGUCCCUCCUCCCUCAGCGCUGCAGAUUUGGAUUUACUCAGGAUCCACUCAUCCACCUGGCCCAGCCUCCGGAGAAAAGCUUGUCAGAGUGGGACUUCGGUUCCUGUUCCCCUUGGCCUUGCUGCUGGUAGCCCACUCGUGCUCUGAGGUCGGCCUGCCUCAGGGGACAGGGGCCUUCGUGCUGUCUGACUUCCUCACUUGGUAUUUCCGUUACUUGCAGCCCAAGGCAUCCCGGCUUACCCUGGAGCUGAGGAAUGACUUUCUACUUCCACUGGGGACUGAGUCUGUCUGCAGGAAACACGGCACAGGUCACAAACAGGUUCCACCGAUGCCGCCAGCUCUGAUAUGGGAGCUGUAGACUCCAUGUUCUGGAUGAAAGUGAUUUGGGGACGACAGAGCCAGCGCUGAACCUCAGGAGGGCAGUGGAGGACAGCAUGAGGCCGUCCUGUGACCCUAGGGCUGGGAGGGACAUUGAAGCCGUGCUGCAGCUGGAGAAAGUCUUUAUGCAAUUACAGUGGGGUCAGUGUGGGCCCAGCAGUGCUGAGUGGGUAAGAGGAUAAUAAUAAUAACAACAACAACUGCAGCACGACGCCCGAUCUGACUCCAUCCCCCAAGCAUCUCAAAGAGUAGUUCCUUAUUUUUCACACUUGGAUGAGAAAAGCAAGGCAAGGAAAAGCAAGUAGGGGGCACCUGAAUUGCAAUUCGGUUUUGUCCUAGAUUUUAAUCGUUGUGCUGAACAAAAGUGAUGACCUCUCACCCGGAAGGAAACCAACAGGGUCACAGGACAGAUCUCUUGCCCAGCCCUGGAGUGGGGGUGGCUGCCGCUGACCCACUGCUGAGCAAAUGAGCCCUCCAGGCCCUGGGAGUGGGGGGGCUCUGGUCCAGCACCCAAAGCUGGCAGGGGGCCUGGUAUUCAGGCAGGGCGCCUUGCCUGUUUGCUGAGCCAAUGAGCAGGCAGUGUGUUUGGGGCUGGAGCCCUUGCAGUGAUUUUGUGAGUGUCUUUAUGAGGUGUGAUCAAAAGUACAGCGAAUGCUGGGGCCUGGUGCCAUCCGACAGAAAGGCAGCCCCUAAAACACAGUGCGUCCUCGUCUACCUCAUUCAGCAGACCUGGCACCGUGCGACUUCUGGCUCUUCCUCAAAGUCAAAACGACCACAGAAGGCAAGCGUUUUGAGUCCACGGAGGACAGCAAGGCAGCCAGGACAGCACAACUUGAACACACAGCAAAGAGGACUUCCAGAACUGCUACAGGAAGUGGUCUGGGACAGCUGCCCGGCCUGGGGCUCCUGGCUUCUGGGCAUCAGUGGAGGGAGAGGUGUCAUUGGCCACCUCCAGUGACACAGUGGGAGUGGAAGUGACUUGCAUUGCACCUGAGCCACAGGAGGCGUUAUGUGGAAGCUUUGGUGACCCUCUUCCUAAGGAAGUGCUUAAGAAUUCCAUAGUAGCCUACGCAGUGGCUCUCUAAAAAUACACGUCUGCUCAGAAAGGAUUUAGCCCAGGGAUGCCACACUAGGGAGCGGCCAUCCUUAAUGGACUCCUAGCACGAGCUGGGAAGGAGUCCGCUGCAGCUGGAGACAGACUCCUGGGCUCAUCGCCAUACUGGGUGUUCGCAGCUGGGCUGGGCACUUGGGGUGGCAGAGGCCGGAAGGAGAGGGCUUCCUGGCUGCUCAGCCACAGAGAAGUCUGGUCUGCUUCUCUGGGCCCUGAUUACCCACUGGAUCAUCUUUUGUCCACUCACAAGGAGGGAAGCAAGGAGGGGGAAGCGUGG
rnacentral:lncRNA from 1 species